rnacentral:rRNA from 1 species
UACGUAGGGUGCGAGCGUUGUCCGGAAUUAUUGGGCGUAAAGGGCUCGUAGGCGGUUUGUCACGUCGGGAGUGAAAACUCGGGGCUUAACUCCGAGCCUGCUUCCGAUACGGGCUGACUAGAGGUAUGCAGGGGAGAACGGAAUUCCUGGUGUAGCGGUGAAAUGCGCAGAUAUCAGGAAGAACACCCGUGGCGAAAGCGGCUCUCUGGAACGGUACUGACGCUGAGACGCGAAAGCGUGGGGAGCGAACAGA